rnacentral:SRP_RNA from 1 species
AUUAAUUUUUAUAACUAAAAAUUGGCCUAUAUACUUUCUUCAACUUUUCAUAUUAGCAUAUUUUUUAUUAUUUUGUUGUUUAUAUCCUGGUGUGGCUAUCUUCUGGCCUGCCAGUUCUGAGCCGAGAGUUAGGCCAUGCAACUUAGGCGAAGGCCUGGGUUUCGUGACUACUAGAGUGGAAGGCACCGCGUGAGACUGGUUUCACAUAGCAGCGAAAACCUCUCGCUCUUGGCAGAGCUCCUAAAGGAUCACAGGCUGGUGCUACUGGGAUCCAUCAUGGCCCAACGAGCUGUCCGUAAUUGAA